UACGAAGGGGGCUAGCGUUGCUCGGAAUGACUGGGCGUAAAGGGCGCGUAGGCGGAUGGUACAGUCAGAUGUGAAAUUCCUGGGCUCAACCUGGGGGCUGCAUUUGAUACGUGCUGUCUUGAGUUCGGAAGAGGGUCGUGGAAUUCCUGGUGUAGCGGUGAAAUGCGCAGAUAUCAGGAAGAACACCCGUGGCGAAGGCGGCUCUCUGGAACGCAACUGACGCUGAGACGCGAAAGCGUGGGGAGCAAACAGG
rnacentral:rRNA from 1 species